rnacentral:rRNA from 1 species
UACGUAGGGACCAAGCGUUGUUCGGAUUUACUGGGCGUAAAGGGUGCGUAGGCGGCUUGUCAAGUCAGUCGUGAAAUCUCCGAGCUUAACUCGGAACGGUCAACUGAUACUGUCAUGCUAGAGUGCAGAAGGGGCAAUCGGAAUUCUUGGUGUAGCGGUGAAAUGCGUAGAUAUCAAGAGGAACACCUGAGGUGAAGACGGGUUGCUGGGCUGACACUGACGCUGAAGCACGAAAGCUAGGGUAGCAAACGGG